rnacentral:rRNA from 1 species
UACGUAGGGUGCGAGCGUUGUCCGGAAUUACUGGGCGUAAAGAGCUCGUAGGUGGUUUGUCGCGUUGUUCGUGAAAACCGGGGGCUUAACCCUCGGCGUGCGGGCGAUACGGGCAGACUUGAGUACUGCAGGGGAGACUGGAAUUCCUGGUGUAGCGGUGGAAUGCGCAGAUAUCAGGAGGAACACCGGUGGCGAAGGCGGGUCUCUGGGCCGAUAUUGACGCUGAGGAGCGAAAGCCAGGGGAGCAAACGGG